CACGUAGGGCGCAAGCGUUAUCCGGAAUGAUUGGGCGUAAAGCGUCCGCAGGUGGCAGUUCAAGUCUGCUGUCAAAGACCGGGGCUUAACUUCGGAAAGGCAGUGGAAACUGAACAGCUAGAGUAUGGUAGGGGCAGAGGGAAUUCCUGGUGUAGCGGUGAAGUGCGUAGAGAUCAGGAAGAACAUCGGUGGCGAAGGCGCUCUGCUGGACCAUAACUGACACUCAGGGACGAAAGCUAGGGGAGCGAAUGGG
rnacentral:rRNA from 1 species